CCUACGGGUGGCAGCAGUGGGGAAGAGUGCACAAUGGGGGAAACCCUGAUGCAGCAACGCCGCGUGAGUGAUGACAGCCUUCGGGUUGUAAAGCUCUGUCUUCAGGGACGAGAAUGACGGUAACUGAGGAGGAAGCCACGGCUAACUACGUGCCAGCAGCCGCGGUAAUACGUAGGUGGCGAGCGUUGUCCGGAUUUACUGGGCGUAAAGGGAGCGGAGGCUGACUUGUAAGUGAGAUGUGAAAUACUCGGGCUCAACUUGAGGGCUGCAUUUCAAACUGGAAGUCUAGAGUGCAGGAGAGGCGACUGGAAUUCCUAUUGUAGCGGUUACAUGCGUAGAGCUUAG
rnacentral:rRNA from 1 species